rnacentral:sRNA from 1 species
UGUUUUCUCCUAGAUACCAGCGGGCAAGCAGAAAACAAGAGGCUCAAGAGGGGCAGCCCCCGCAUAGAGGAGAUGCGAUCUCUGCGCUCCGCCAGGGCCCCGAGCCCUUCAGAGGCCGCCCCGCGCCGCCCGGAGGCCACCGCGGCCCCCCUCACUCCUAGAGGAAGGGAGGACCGCGAGGCUCACGGCAGGGCCCUGGCGCCGGGCAGGGCGAGCCUCAGGAGCCGCCUGGAGGUAACUGGGCGAGGGCCGCGCAGGGAAGGGCUCAGCAGGAGGUGCAGGCCACGGGCCGCUGCUGAGAGGUCCUCACCCCGGGCCCCCUUGUUCCCGCAGGACGUGCUGUGGCUGCAGGAGGUCUCCAACCUGUCAGAGUGGCUGAGUCCCAGCCCUGGGCCCUGAGCCGGGUCCCCUUCCGCAAGCGCCCACCGAUCCGGAGGCUGCGGGCAGCCGUUAUCCCGUGGUUUAAUAAAGCUGCCCCGCGCUCACCAAGUCCUCUUCCGCGUCUGCUUCCGCGUCGGGCCCGGGCGGGGCGGGGCGUGGAGCCGCACCGCGGCCUGACGUCACCCACACCUCCCUGGGACUGCGUCACUGGUGCGCGCCGCGGGUCAGGGCGCAAUGGCGGCGCUGGGCGGGGAUGGGCUGCGACUGCUGUCGGUGUCGCGGCCGGAGCGGCCGCCCGAGUCGGCGGCGCUGGGGGGCCCGGGCCCCGGGCUGUGCUGCUGGGUGUCAGUGUUCUCCUGCCUCAGCCUCGCCUGCUCCUACGUGGGCAGCCUCUACGUCUGGAAGAGCGAACUGCCCAGGUGCGGGGGCUGCGCGCGGCCGGAAUCCGCGCCCUGCGGGCGGAGCUUGGGCGAGCCGGGGGCGGGUCCGUGCUCAUGGGCAGCCGCGGGCCCCCUGAACUUACUGUCCCCUCCGUAGGGACCAUCCCGCCGUCAUCAAGCGACGCUUCACCAGCGUCCUGGUGGUGUCCAGUCUCUCACCUCUGUGCGUGCUGCUCUGGAGGGAACUCACAGGCAUCCAGCCAGGCACAUCCCUGCUCACCCUGAUGGGCUUCAGGCUGGAGGGCAUUUUCCCAGCGGCGCUGCUGCCCCUGUUGCUGACCAUGAUUCUUUUCCUGGGCCCACUGAUGCAGCUCUCUAUGGAUUGCCCUUGUGACCUGGCAGAUGGGCUGAAGGUUGUCCUGGCCCCCCGCUCCUGGGCCCGCUGCCUCACAGACAUGCGUUGGCUGCGGAACCAAGUGAUCGCCCCGCUGACAGAGGAGCUGGUGUUCCGGGCCUGUAUGCUGCCCAUGUUAGCACCGUGCAUGGGCCUGGGCCCUGCUGUGUUCACCUGCCCGCUCUUUUUUGGAGUUGCCCAUUUUCACCAUAUUAUUGAGCAGCUGCGUUUCCGCCAGAGCAGCGUGGGGAACAUCUUCUUGUCUGCUGGUGAGUCCUGGCUAGCUGGCCUGGGUUAGGGUGUAUGAUGAUGUCGCUAAUGGCCACUCUGGAGAAGGAAUUGGGAACUGAGGGCCACGGUAUUGGAGAGGCCACUGACCGUGGGAGUUGGGGUGCAGGACAGCUGUAGGUGGUGGGGCAGGCAGCUACUGCCCCGGGGGGAGGGGAUGGUCGGUCUUUGGCUGAUGGGUAUGUAGUGCGGGGGCAGGAAGGGCGUGCAGGUGUGGUCACUCGCGGCCUCCCCGUCUCCAGCGUUCCAGUUCUCCUACACAGCUGUCUUCGGUGCCUACACUGCUUUCCUCUUCAUCCGCACAGGUUGGUCCUCAGUCCCUCAUGGGUCCCUGGGGGCCCACAGGAGCGGGUGGGAGAAUGGGAAUACUGUUUGUUCUAGGAACAAAAGUUCUUCUACUCCAGUCCUUGAGACAGGCUGAGCCAGGGCCCUCAGCCUGGUGAGGUCUGAGAGGUGGAAAGGAGCAGAGGCCGUGGUGUGUGGGUGGAUGGCUGGGGUAGUGGGAUCUUGAUCUCCUGUUUCAGGGGAUGAGGGUCACUAGCCCUGGAAGGGCCAGAGGAGGUGGUAGGGCUGCUCCCUGAGCUGCUGUCUCUUUUCCCCAGGACACCUGAUUGGGCCGGUUCUCUGCCAUUCCUUCUGCAAUUACAUGGGUUUCCCAGCUGUUUGCGCGGCCUUGGAGCACCCGCAGAGGCGGCCCCUGCUGGCAGGCUAUGCCCUGGGUGUGGGACUCUUCCUGCUUCUGCUCCAGCCCCUCACGGACCCCAAGCUCUACGGCAGCCUUCCCCUUUGUGUGCUUUUGGAGCGGGCAGGGGACUCAGAGGCUCCCCUGUGCUCCUGACCUAUGCUCCUGGAUACACUAUGAACUCUCACCGGCUCCCCAGCCCUCCCCACCAAGGGGUACUGCAGGGGAAGGGCUGGCUGGGGUCCCCGAGAUCUCAGGAAUUUUUGUAGGGGAUUGAAGCCAGAGCUAGUUGCAUCCCAGGGACCAAGAGAAAGAAGCAGAUAUCCAAAGGGUGCAGCCCCUUUUGAAAGGGGUGUUUACGAGCAGCUGUGAGUGAGGGGACAAGGGGCAGGUCCCAGGAGCCACACACUCCCUUCCUCACUUUGGACUGCUGCUUCUCUUAGCUCCUCUGCCUCUGAAAAGCUGCUCGGGGUUUUUUAUUUAUAAAACCUCUCCCCACCCCCCACCCCCCAACUUCCUGGGUUUUCUCAUUGUCUUUUUGCAUCAAUACUUUGUAUUGGGAUAUUAAAGAGAUUUAACUUGGGUAA